GGUGGAGCUCCUAUCAUUCCAAUGAAGGGUCUACCGGAAGGGUUUGUGCAGCUGCUUGUUCAUGGUUCCCACUAUCCUAUCUCCAUUAGAACACGAGGAGAUAGGCUUGUGGUUUGCAUGAUCGAGGAGCCGCUUCGAUCCCUCGCUGACCGCUGUUUGGAUUGAAGGGAGCUCUGCA
rnacentral:pre_miRNA from 1 species